rnacentral:rRNA from 1 species
AUUGAACGCUGGCGGCAGGCUUAACACAUGCAAGUCGAGCGGUAACAGAGAGAAGCUUGCUUCUCUGCUGACGAGUGGCGGACGGGUGAGUAAUGCCUAGGAAUCUGCCUAGUAGUGGGGGAUAACUUGCCGAAAGGUAAGCUAAUACCGCAUACGUCCUACGGGAGAAAGGAGGGGACCUUCGGGCCUUUCGCUAUUAGAUGAGCCUAGGUCGGAUUAGUUAGUUGGUGAGGUAAUGGCUCACCAAGACCGCGAUCCGUAACUGGUCUGAAAGGAUGAUCAGUCACCCUGGGACUGAGACACGGUCCAGACUCCUACGGGAGGCAGCAGUGGGGAAUAUUGGACAAUGGGGGGAACCCUGAUCCAGCCAUGCCGCGUGUGUGAAGAAGGUCUUAGGAUUGUAAAGCACUUUAAGUUGGGAGGAAGAGCAGUUAACUAAUAUUUGACUGUUUUGACGUUACCGACAGAAUAAGCACCGGCUAACUUCGUGCCAGCAGCCGCCGUAA